GGCGGCAUGCCUUACACAUGCAAGUCGAACGGCAGCGCGGGGUAACCUGGCGGCGAGUGGCGAACGGGUGAGUAAUAUAUCGGAACGUACCCUAGAGUGGGGGAUAACGUAGCGAAAGUUACGCUAAUACCGCAUACGAUCUAAGGAUGAAAGUGGGGGAUCGCAAGACCUCAUGCUCCUGGAGCGGCCGAUAUCUGAUUAGCUAGUUGGUGGGGUAAAGGCCUACCAAGGCAUCGAUCAGUAGCUGGUCUGAGAGGACGACCAGCCACACUGGAACUGAGACACGGUCCAGACUCCUACGGGAGGCAGCAGUGGGGAAUUUUGCGCAAUGGGGGAAACCCUGACGCAGCAACGCCGCGUGAGUGAUGAAGGCCUUCGGGUCGUAAAGCUCUGUCAGUGGGGAAGAAAUGGAACGUGCUAAUACCACGUUUUCUUGACGGUACCCACAAAGGAAGCACCGGCUAACUCCGUGCCAGCAGCCGCGGUAAUACGGAGGGUGCAAGCGUUGUUCGGAUUUAUUGGGCGUAAAGCGCGUGUAGGCGGUUUCUUAAGUCUGAUGUGAAAGCCCCGGGCUCAACCCGGGAAGUGCAUUGGAUACUGGGAGACUUGAAUACGGGAGAGGGUAGUGGAAUUCCUAGUGUAGGAGUGAAAUCCGUAGAUAUUAGGAGGAACACCGGUGGCGAAGGCGGCUACCUGGACCGAUAUUGACGCUGAGACGCGAAAG
rnacentral:rRNA from 1 species